UACGUAGGGUGCAAGCGUUGUCCGGAAUUAUUGAGCGUAAAGAGCUCGUAGGCGGUUCGUCGCGUCGGCUGUGAAAACCCGGAGCUCAACUCCGGGCCUGCAGUCGAUACGGGCGGACUUGAGUGUUGCAGGGGAGACUGGAAUUCCUGGCGUAGCGGUGAAAUGCGCAGAUAUCAGGAGGAACACCGGUGGCGAAGGCGGGUCUCUGGGCAACUACUGACGCUGAGGAGCGAAAGCGUGGGGAGCGAACAGG
rnacentral:rRNA from 1 species